GAUAAACGCUGGCGGCGCACAUAAGACAUGCGAGUUGAACGGACUUAAUCGAAAUAUUUCUAUUUUGAAGCGGUUAGUGGCGGACUGGUGAGUAACGCGUAAGGAACCUGCCUAUUAGAGGGGAAUAACAGUGAGAAAUCAUUGCUAAUACCGCAUAUGCCAUAGAUAUCACAUGAUAACAGUGGGAAAGGAGCAAUCCGCUAAUAGAUGGCCUUGCGUCUGAUUAGAUAGUUGGUGGGGUAACGGCCUACCAAGUCGACGAUCAGUAGCCGGACUGAGAGGUUGAACGGCCACAUUGGGACUGAGAUACGGCCCAGACUCCUACGGGAGGCAGCAGUCGGGAAUAUUGCGCAAUGGAGGAAACUCUGACGCAGUGACGCCGCGUAUAGGAAGAAGGUUUUCGGAUUGUAAACUAUUGUCGUUAGGGAAGAGAAAGGACAGUACCUAAGGAGGAAGCUCCGGCUAACUACGUG
rnacentral:rRNA from 1 species